CCCGACGGUGAGGGACGAAAGCUUGGGUCUCGAACCGGAUUAUAUACCCGGGUAGUCCAAGCUGUAAACGAUGCUCGCUAGGUGUGGCGUUGGCUACGAGCCAGCGCUGUGCCGUANGGAAGCCGAGAAGCGAGCCGCCUGGGAAGUACGUCCGCAAGGAUGAAACUUAAAGGAAUUGGCGGGGGAGCACUACAACCGGAGGAGCCUGCGGUUUAAUUGGACUCAACGCCGGACAUCUCACCGGCACCGACAGUGUGCAGUGACAGUCAGUCUGAUGGGCUUACUUGAGCC
rnacentral:rRNA from 1 species